rnacentral:rRNA from 1 species
AGUGAACGCUGGCGGUAGGCCUAACACAUGCAAGUCGAACGGCAGCACAGUAAGAGCUUGCUCUUACGGGUGGCGAGUGGCGGACGGGCGAGGAAUACAUCGGAAUCUACUUUUUCGUGGGGGAUAACGUAGGGAAACUUACGCUAAUACCGCAUACGACCUACGGGUGAAAGCAGUGGAUCUUCGGACCUUGCGCGAUUGAAUGAGCCGAUGUCGGAUUAGCUAGUUGGCGGGGUAAAGGCCCACCAAGGCGACGAUCCGUAGCUGGUCUGAGAGGAUGAUCAGCCACACUGGAACUGAGACACGGUCCAGACUCCUACGGGAGGCAGCAGUGGGGAAUAUUGGACAAUGGGCGCAAGCCUGAUCCAGCCAUACCGCGUGGGUGAAGAAGGCCUUCGGGUUGUAAAGCCCUUUUGUUGGGAAAGAAAAGCAGCAGGUUAAUACCCCGCUGUUCUGACGGUACCCAAAGAAUAAGCACCGGCUAACUUCGUG